rnacentral:lncRNA from 1 species
UUUGAGUUUCUACGUAACAGAAUGAUGUUUUGUCGUAUAUUCAAAUUACAACACGACGCUAUCAUAUCUGGAGGUUGUGUGUAAGGUGUGCUUUACAAAUUUUC